rnacentral:piRNA from 1 species
CUGUCUUAGGUGGAGCACUGGGACUCAAA